AAGAGGUGUUGCCUCACAGUGCCAGAGAUCCAGGUUCAGUCCCAACCUUGUGUGGAGUUUGCACAUUCUUCCUACGAUCUCGUGGGUUUCCUCCCAAAUGUGUGUAGGCUAAUUGGACUCUGUGAGUCAUCCAUUAUGUGAAGUGUAUUGACUACUUAGUGGUAACCACAAUCACAACUACUGCACAGCAGCAAUCCACUCGAGCUGACGAUGGGGGAAGGAGAAAUCUACUUCCGAUUGCUGGAUCUUUGUUGCCGGCUUUCUUCAAGGUGACCGAGUCACUUAAUGUGAAGUGGCACAGAGAGAUAAUGAACUGCAGUUCUUAGUGCUGAUUCUGCAGAUGCAUGGAGAAACACACUGUACAGGUUAACCAUCCAGGAGAAAACUGACACAACUCCAUCAAACCAAGACAGAGGAGGAGUCAAAACUCUCAUGUCAAACAUGAGAAGAAAAAAACUGAAAUAUACCAUGGGGAACCUGGUCCUUAACAUCCAUAAGACUAAAGAGCUUAUUGUGGACUUCAGGCACGCUAGGAGCCACAAUCACGUCUCCAUCUACAUCAAUGGAGCUGUAGUGGAGCGUGUAUCAAGCUUCAAUUUCCUUGGUGUCCCUGUACUCCUCCAUCCUGAUCAACACCUUUAUUUCCUGCGGAGCAUCGAGAAAGCUCACCCCUGGCCCAGGAUACUGACAGACUUUUACCGCUGUACCAUUGAGAGCUUACUCACCAACUGCAUCUCAGGGUGGUAUGGCAAUUGUCCCGUAUUGGACUGCAAAGCACUCCAGAAUGUGGUGAAAACUGCCCAGCGGAUUAUCGGCACCCAAUUGCCCACCACUGAGAACAUCUACUAUAAAAGCUGCCUGGGCAGGGCAAAAAGCAUUAUCAAAGAUGCAUCUCACCCUAACCAUGGACUUUUUACUCUCCUCCCAUCUUGUAGGCGUUACAGGAGCUUCUGCUCCUGCACCAGCAGGCACAGGAAGAGCUUCUUCCCUGAGGCUGUGCCCCUGCUGAACCUCACAUCACAGUGCUGAGCAGUACUGCACCCAUAUUGUACUGUCUCAGUACUUUUAUAUUUGUGUGCUGUUGCACUUAUCUUUUAUUCACAGAUAUUUUGUAAAUAACACUAUUCUUUGAAUUUCUGGUUCGAUGCUAACUGGCCUUGUAUCUGUACUCGGCACAAUAACAACAAAGUUGAAUCUAAUCUAAGUCUAACAAGUUGCAUCACUGUCUGCUACGGAGGGACUACCAUACAGGAUCAGGAAAGUCCGUAGGGGUUUGCAAGCCCAGCCCAGUUCAUCAUGGGCACUAGCCACCCAGUAUCGGGGACAUUUUCAAGAAGGCAUUAAGGAACCCCCUACUUCCCCACCACCCCCCCCCCCAAUCACCCCUAUUACAGGAGGUACAGGACACACACACUCGAUGACUUAGGAACAGCUUCUUCCCAUCCACGAACAGAUUUCUGAAUGGACAACAAAUGAACCCAUGAACACUACCUCAGUAGUUUUACUCUCUUUCUGCACUACUUGUUUAUUUAAAUCUCCAUAUAUUUAUCUAAUUGUAAUUUAUAGUAUUCUUAUGUAUUGCAAUGUACUGAAAAACAACAGAUUUCAUGUCAGUGAUAUGAAACCUGAUUCUGAUUCUUACCUCCAUCACAUCUGAGAUCACCACAAGAAUAUUCAAAUCACAGCCAGAACAAGCAUGUAUAUAAUUUACCAAUUAAGUAUGCAUAUUUGUUUUGGGAACUCCCAACCCAAGCCAGAUUAAAAACCUGUAAAUGCCUCUGAAUUUUGCUGUACAAACUACUCACUAGAUUGUGGAAUUUAAUCAAGACAAGUGUGAGGAAUUAUAUUUUGGGGUGCCAGAUAUUAACAAGACAUAUACAGUAAAUGGCACGGUCCCAAGGUGUAUUCAUGUUCAGAGAAACCUUGGAGUGCAAACUCAAUGCUUCCUUAUAACGGUGACACACGUGGAUAAGGUGGUGGUGAAGUAUUUGGCAUGCUUGCUUUCACAAGACAAUUCACUGAAUGCAAGAAUGGGGAUGCUGCCGUAUAAAUGAUUAGUUUGGGCACAUUGGUGUAUUGCGUACAAUUCUAGUCACAAGAUUACAGGACGGAUGUAAUUGUAUUAAAAGUGCAGAAGAAAUUUACCAGGACGUUGCCUGGAAUGCUGGGAUUUAGUAACAAGCAGAGCUUGGAUAAACUGUGUCCAUUGCUACUGGAACGCAGGUGCUUAAGGGGGUGACUUGAUUGAGAUUUAAGAAUUUGAGGAUCACAAUCAAAAUCUUUUUAGUAGGGGAGGGAACUAUAAAGCUUGACAAUAUAAUGUGGGCGAUGAUGACAAAAUUUAAAGGAGAUUGGAGGAGAAAGUUUUUCAACACAGAGAGCACUGGCUGUAUGGAAGAGCUCUCGGAGGUGGUAAAGGCAGAAAUAAUUACAAUGCUUAGGAGGCGUUUGGACAGAUACUUUGAGAGGAAUGGAGGUGUGGAGUGCAGGCCUAAUGCAGGCAAAUAGGAUGGGCAAAGUUGGCCCAUAUCUGGACUAUACAGUUUGGUGACUCUUGUUUAUAAAGUUUAUAAUCAUCUGCAGUGUACUACCUGAAAGAACCACAAAAGCAGAUUAGUAACAUGUUUUAAAAGGUAAAUAAAUAACUGAAGAGUACUAUGUUAUGAUUCUAGAGCCUAAUACUAAUGUUCUAUCAUUCAAAUCACCAUGCGGGAAGUAACAAAAAACACCAUCCUUACUUUGUCGAAGGUGAUUAUACCAAGCAUUACUAAUGCAAGUAAGAGACAUUUUCAGGUAAGGAAUUCAGUAUUAACACAACAGCUACUAGUACCAGCAUCAGAAAUGGAACAUAAUAAGAAAGCGUGUUGAGUACAUGAACUAUAGAUUUAUGGUCA